UACUGUUGCAAUUUAGGGAUGCGGCUCUUAACAGUGCAGUCGGUAGAAAAGCUAUCCUGUCUCGAUGGCGUCUUUAGCGAUGAUGGAACUGGUUACUGGACCUCGGGGACAAAUGGAGGCUGUUCGAACCAACGAUUCCGUUGGUGCUCUCCAGAAAUUAAAGACUUCAUUAAACCCAGUUUGAACCUCGAUCCAACUAUACUUAAUUUCAAUCCAGCAAUGCAAGUAUCUCAGCUACCUGCUUUCCUGACCACAAGAUUAUGUGUGGCUGCCAAAAAAUCACCCACUUUGGGACCAAUUUUGGGGCCUUUCAUGUGCAUCAUGUCCAAUAAAGUCAUUUGUGAAGUGCUUAAUAAAUAAAUUGUAUUUUUGCAAUAAUUCAAUUGAUGUAAAAAGGGCCGCGUGCAGGCCGAGUCUCAUCUUCAAGAAGUUUUCAAUGAAUGCAAAGCAACACACCG